rnacentral:lncRNA from 1 species
CAAAAACAAAAGUACUAACUAACGAAGGUGGUUGCUCUUUUACCCUGGAGUCUGCUCCAAUUAAUCAAACCCAUAAUCAAAGGUAUUCCAAUCGUGACCGUCAAGUCACUUUUUUUAAAAUUCAAACAGUGCACUCUUAUAAAAAAAAAUGUAGUAAGACGUUAGUGGUAUUUGAGGGAGUGUUGACUGUUAUUUCUAGGAGAUCGUACGGUGUUCCUCUGUGGUCUUAGUCUUAUUUUAUAAUUCUUUUCUUUUCUAGAAUGCUUUGUAUCAGAGUAUUCAAUCGUUUCUGUGUACUUGACUGUUUUGUAGACCCCCAACUCCCGCUGAAGGGCGAACGACAAAGAUGACUUUAGUCGCGGAAUUUGAACGCAGAACGCAAAGGACCAUUUUACAGACAUUUUGUUUGACACUAACACUAGCGAUUCUGUCAAUCCACUGCGCGGCCAGCUAGAAAUAGCAGCCCAAAUCUUUCUUAAUUCACUUUUGUCUUUAAUACAAAAAAUAAAUAGAUAUAUAAAUAAAUAAAAGACAUUUAGUCAGCAAUGUCAAAUCUCACUCAAUUCACACUCUCACAAAUCUUGGGUUUUCGAGACUCGUGAGAGGAAAGGAGGGAAUAAAUAUUCUCUAGCUGGAGGUUUGGCUCGAAUGUAAUGUAUACCAAUAGAAAUAUGGUAUCAAACGGGUUUCUAGGAUUACAUUGUUAAACAUUACAAUUGUUCUUAAACUGAUUCUGCUAAAAGCUUCCAAUAUACCGAAUGAGGGUGUUAAACUAGGAGUCAGUUUAAGUUUACCAUCCAAGUAGGCAGAAUUUGAACUCAGGACGGAAAGAACUGGAAAAAUUAUUGCAAAACAUUUCAUCCAAUGUUCUUAGAGUUCUACCAAUCCACAUCCCACGAUUAGUUCUUUUUAAACGUUACUGAAGAAUAAGAAAUAAAGUUGACCUUGGUGGGGUAUCCCGUUUGUAGCUACAGAUCCUAUGUGCUCAUCAUAAGUACGGCCACAUGAAUAAUUGUCGUAUGAUAUGAAAUCUAUAUAAAAAUCAGAAUGUGUGUGUGUUUUUGCCUGUAUGUGUGCAUCAAUAAAACUCGAGAAUUACCCAACUGAUUUCAUUCAAAUUUUACACAUGCCCUACUUAGGGUCCAUGCAGUGCCAUGGGCCUAAAAAAAUGUUCAGUUUCUUGCCUAAUGCUAGCCCGGAGCAAUCUCUUUUCUCUUUCAGUAUUACAUGUCAAAAGUGAAAAAAUAACAUCUCCAUUGUAAUGCGAGAUAGUACUUUCAUUUUUACUGGUGAAACUAUUAAUAUUUUCACUUUGUAUAUAUAUACUGAUUUCAUUUCUAUUACCUUCACGAUGCAUGUAUGUGUGUUAAGUAUAUAUAUAUAUAUAUAUAUAUAUAUAUAUAUAUAUAUAUUUAUGUAUAUGUAUAUUUCUGUGUAUAUAUGUGUGUGUAUAUAUGUAUAUGUAUGUAUAUAUAUGUAUACAUAUGCAUAUAGGUGUAUAUAUAUGUAUGUAUAUAUGUGUAUAUAUCUUUGUGUAUAUAUGUGUGUGUAUAUAUAUAUAUCUAUAUAUAAAUGUAUAUGUGUGUGUAUGUAUAUGCAUAUAUAUCUAUAUAUGUGUGUGUAUAUGUAUAUAUAGAUAGAUAUAUGUAUAUAUAUAUAUAUAUAUAUAUAUAUAUAUAUAUAUAUAUCAGAGUAUUGACUGUUUUGUGUGUGUGGCCUUAGAGUGUGCAUAUGCAGUUUGGGUUCGUGCCAGGGAAAAGCACCACUGAUGCUAUAUUUCUGGUAAGAUAGCUGCAGGAGAAAUACCUAGCCAAAGAUAAACCUCUGUACCUGGCUUUUGUUGACAUGGAGAAAGCCUUUGACAGCCCCCCCCCCCGAUCUCUUAUCUGGUGGUUAAUGAGGAAACUAGGGAUAAAUGAAUGGUUAGUGACAGCUGUGAAAGCCAUGUACAGGGUCGCUGUCAGUAAGGUGAGAGUUGGCAAUGACUACAGUGAAGAAUUCUGGGUAGAGGUAGGGGUCCACCAAGGUUCAGUCCUCAGCCUCCUCCUAUUUAUCCUAGUCCUCCAGGCAAUAACAGAGAAAUUCAAGACAGCUCCUCUAUGCUGAUGGCCUUGCUCUAGUUGCUGAGUCACUAUCAGAACUAGAGGAGAUGUUUCAGGUGUGGAAGCAAGGAUUAGAAUCAAAGGGCCUUAGAGUCAAUCUAGCUAAAACCAAAGUCCUAAUAAGUAGGAAGGCAGACAAACCACAGGUCCCUUCAGGUAGAUGGUCUUGCUCGAUCUGUAGAAAAGGUGUAGGUAGAAACUCUAUAAGAUGUACCCAGUAUAAGCUAUGAACUCAUAAGAGGUGCAGCGAUAUCAAAUGAAGGCUAACUGGGAAGAUAGUUUUUAUAUGUGGCAGAUGCUCAGGAGCAAUAAACACUGAAAAUGUGCAGAGAACAACUUCUGCCACAUUCCAGGGUGAAAAACUAGAAGCAGUUGAUAGCUUCCAUUACCUAGGUGACCAAGUCAGUAGGGAGGUGGGGUGGGGGUGCACUGAAAGUGUAGCUACGAGAAUAAAAAUAACCUGGGCAAAGUUCAGAGAGCUCUUACCUCUGCUGGUGACAAAGGGACUCUCACACAGAGUAAAAGGUAGACUGUAUGAUGCAUGUGUACGAACUGUCAUGCUACAUGGCAGUGAAAAAUGGGCUGUGACUGCUGAGGACAGGUGUAAGCUUGCAAGGAAUGAAGCCUGUAUGCUCCAAUGGAUGUGUAAUGUCAGUGUGCAUACUCUACAGAGUGUAAGUACCCUGAGAGAAAAGUUGGACCUUAGAAGCAUCAGUUAUGGUGUGCAAGAGAGGCGACUGUGCUGGUAUUGUCAUGUGGUGAGAAUGGAUGAGGAUAGCAGUGUGCAAAAGUUCCACACUCUAGCGGUUGAGGGAACCUGUGGAAGAGGUAGACCCAGGAAGACCUGGGAUGAGGUUGUAAAGCACAACCUUCAAACAUUAGGCCUCAGGGAGGCAACGACUAGUGACCAAGACCUUUGGAAAUAUGCCGUGCUUGAGAAGACCCUGCAAGCUAAGUGAAACCAUAACCCAUGACCUAUGCCAGUGGUGUAACCAGCCCACUUAUGUGUACCUUUCCUUCAUUGGACACUAAACUCUGCUUGUGAAGACCUGUUGAGGGAAGUGGAAUUGAAAUCAAAAUCAAAUUCAAUGACUGGCAUCUAUGCCAGUGGAGUGCUAAGAGAACCAUCCGAGCAUGAUCGUUGCCAGAGCAGCUGACUGUCACGCAAAAAGCACCAUUUGUGUGUGAUCGUUACCAGUGUCACCUUACUGGCACUUGUGCCGGUGGCAUGUGAAAAGGCAUUCAAGCAAGGUCGUUGCCAGUGCUGCUGGACUGGCUCCUGUGCAGGUGGCACAUAAAAAAAACACCAUUUGAGUGAGGCCCUUGCCAGUACCGCCUGACUGGCCCUCGUACCAGUGGCAUGUAAAAGCACCCACUAUACUCUCAGAGUGGUUGGCGUUAGGAAGGGCAUCCAACUGUAGAAACUCUGCCAGAUCAGAUCGGAGCCUGGUGCAGCCAUCUGGUUCACACGUCCUUAGUCAAAUCGUCCAACCUAUGCUAGCAUGGAAAGUGGACGUUAAACAAUGAUGAUGAUAGUGAUGAUAUAUAUAUAUAAAUAUAUAUAUAGGGAUAUUGGAUAUAUGUAUGGAAAAGUGGAUGGUAAAUGAAGGGAAUAACAAUGAUGGUUGGUAGAAUAAGUAAAGUUUCGGAAAAAAAUGCCUUGUGGUACUUAGUUACAGCUUUCUAUGUUCUGAAUUCAAAUCCCAUCAAGGUCAGCUUUGCUUUUCUUCCUUCUGGGAUCUAUAAAAUAAAGUACUAGUAUUGUACUGGGAUAGAUAUUCGGCUAUAACUUUUUCCCAGAUUUGAAGCCUUGUUAUUUUGUUAGAAAUCAAUAUUUAAAAAUAAAUGUACUUGCAUAAUGUGUUGGUGUAUCUCAAAUAACAUGCUUACACUGGCUAUUCAGUACAGUUUCAUGUGGUUUACUACAUUGUGACAAAAUAACUUAACAAAAUGACAAGACAGAAAAAUAACAGACAACAGAUGUCUUGUAGCCGUUAGCUUUAAACCUAAACACUAUAGAUAGAUAGACUAACAGACAGAGUGAGUGAGAGAGAGAGAGAAAUAGGUGAGCAGGUAGGUACAUGAAUAAAUGGAGAAAUAGACAGAUAACUAGAGAGAUAGAUUAAUGGAUAGAUAGACUGAGAGAUAGUAAGAGAGAUAGAUACAUAGAAUAAAUAUUAAGAUAGAUAGACAAUAAAAUAGUAUGAUAGAUAGAUAGAUAGCAAUAUUAACAACAAACUAGUUGUAAGUACACUGUGUGCAUGACUGCUUUGUUAAGCACAUCUUAUAAUAAUAAUGAUAAUAAUAAUAAUUCCUAAUUUUGGAACUAGGCCAGUAAUUUUGAGAAGAGGCAGUUACAUUGGCUCCAGUAUUUGACUGGUAAUUAUUUUAUCAACCUAAAGAGAUAAAGUUGAUUUUGACAGAAUUUGAACCCAGAACGUAAGGCCAAAAGGAAUGCUGUUAAGUCCAGCAUACUAAUGAUUCUGCCAGCUUAGUGCCUUAAUAAUAAUCAUAAUAAUAAUAAUUAAAAAAAUGAAAUAAGAGAACUAGACCAAACUCAGACAUACAAAUACUUAGGAAUCAAUGAACUAGAUAUGGUAAAACACACAAAUGAAAGAGAAGCUAAGGAAGGAAUAUUAGAUUAGUUCUUAAAAUAGAGAUGAAUACAAAAAAAAAAAAGAUAAUAGGUAUCACUACUCUAUCUAUUCCAGUUACAAGUUACAGUUACAAUAUUCUUAAUUGGAUACUAAGUGAACUAGCCAAACAAGACACGAAAACAAGAAAAAUAACAGAAUUUAGAAUAUACCACCCAAAAUCUGACAUGGAAAGGUUGUAUUUAUAACAAAUUGAAGAUGGUAGAGGCCUUAUACAAUUAGAAAAUAAUUCUAAAAUAUCCAUCAUAAGACUACAGAAAUAUCUGCGUCAGAACUGGGGAAAACUGGUACAAAUAACUACAAAAUAUGAACCAAACAAAAAACUGUUUUUAGUCUUCAAGAAAGCCAAACAAUACAAGAAAGGUCAUAAUAUCUGACAUCUAUGAAGUAAAAGAAGAAACAACAGACUUUGUAAAGUAACUAAAAACUAAGCUAAAACUGGAACUAAUAAAUAUGAUGAAAUGAUGACAAAAAAAGCCCUUAUAUGGCAAAUUCUAGGAUAAGCUAAACAGAAAAGAAAUAGACAAAGUAAAAUCCCUGCAGUGAUUGAGAAUCUUGGGAUUGAAAGCAAAGACUAAAGGGUUUUUAAUUGCAAUACAAGAUCAAGCCCCCUCCCCCACCAACAAAAACAUACUGAAGAAAAAUACAUUAAAUAACUACAGAAAAUAUGGUGAUAGGGAAGAAAUAAUAAAGCAUAUUGUCUCUGGCUGCCCAGUCUUGGCUAAGAAGAAUAUAUCUACAGACAUGACAGAGUUGGGACAUAUAUGCACUAUGGGAUGACAAGCAGAAAAAUGGUAUUAGCUUAUCUCAGGAAAGGUCUCAGAGAAUGACAAAGUAAGCAUACUUUGGGAUAUGCCAAUAUACAUAAAUAGAGUGAUCAAGGCUACUAUGUUAGAUAUUGUUGUCAGAGGCCCCCCCCCCAAAAAAAAGCAUGCCUUCUAAUUGGAAUAUCAGUCCCAAGAAAUGAUAAUGUAGCUCUAAAAGAAACAGAAACUCUCAAAAUAGCAUUAAAACCAAUAUGGAACAGGAAAACAUAUGUGACGCGAGGAAGACGCUUUGGCACUAUUGAAGUGCGUUUUGCAACAGAGGAAGAAGCAAAACAGCAUUCCACAAUGCCACUAAAAACUGAAGAAUUUUUGGGGGUCCUUUCUCAGCAGUGCCACCACCCUUCGACAAACGAAAGUGGGAAUUUUCCCAUUCUGCUGCCAGUUGCAGUAAACGUUUGCUAAGAAGUCCGCAAACAAGUCUGGCAUCGAAGUAGAAAGCUCGUAGGGCAGACCAUGGAAACCCAGCGAUCUACCUCUCGUGCAACUCUUCAUCGCUUCCUGUAUCUCCGCGGCUGUUAUCGGUCAUUUGCAGCACUCCGCCUCGCUCGCCGAGAGUCGUUGCAUUCCGUCCAUCCACACACCGAAGUCUGCCCUGUUGUCCGUCCUACUAUUCAUCCCGAACAGUCGAGCAGAGUGCCGCUGAAAAGCCGCAAACAUCUGUUUCGGUUCGAACACCACGCAUCCGCUCUUGUUGCUUCUGUUCCAUCUCUUUGUAUUUGGAGCAGUCGACCUUGAUGUGCUGAACGCUUUCACAAAAGUAGCACCUGGGCCUCCUGCCCUCCACGGCUCCGUGUAGUCUCGCAACGUCCGGUAAGUUUAUGGAGUCAAGAAUAGAAUUUAGGGCUUCUUGUUCAAUUUGAACGAGGAGCUCCAAUUCCUAGCCCGUCCAAUUUUGUUGGUGCAAUAUAUGCACCUCCACUAUUGUGGCGGUAUCCUCUAUAUCAAAGAGGACACCCGCUACCAGCCAGCAUAUAUUUAUUUCGGGGGGUACCUCCCCAAUUUUUAUUUUUGUAACACGCCGGCCCAGGUAUAUCGGCACGAGCAGGAAUUCUUCAGUAUUUAGAGGCAUUGUGGAAUGCUGUUUUGCUUCUUCCUCUGUUGCAAAACGCACUUCCACAGUGCCGAAGCGUCUUCCUCGCGUCAUAUAUGUUUUCCUGUUCCAUAUUGGUUUUAAUGCUAUUUCUAAUUGCUGUUGAGUCGCUUGCUCAACUUUUUUUUAAAUAUCUAAUGUUCGGUAGAUCAACGUUUUUUUUUUUUUCUGCGUAUCCUUUACCAGUUCUUGUGGGGUGUUAAGGAAGAUAUUAUUCUCUUACUUCCUUAACAACCCAUUUACAUUUUUAAGUCAUCGGUAGUUAACUGAAUUAAUUGCCUGUUUUGUUUCGCCGCCGAGGUGAAACCGUUACCCCUUGGUUUGUCGUUGUAGUUCCUGUUUGACAUUUCUUUUUUGUCUGUGUUCAUGUUGGUGUUGGCGGUAUUUUCCUGACUUUUUUCUUAUUUUUCUAUGUUAAUAGUGGUGUUGGUUCUUGUGCUGUUCAGAGGAGAGGAAAUCUUCGCAGUACUGGCCGUCAUAACAGCCAUUGUCACUCCCCUCGACAGAGGAAGCCAUCUUGUUCUUCGUUCGACGAAAGACAAAAAAAUAUUUUUAAUGGACAAAAAGUCCAAAAUUCGCCUUUAAAUGAGGAAACUUUUCAACAAAAGAACCCCUUCUGCACACCAUAAGAGGUUCAGGAAACAAAAUCAAACAAACAAAACAGUCAAGAACCUUCAAAAAG